rnacentral:rRNA from 1 species
UACGUAGGGGGCGAGCGUUGUCCGGAUUUAUUGGGCGUAAAGAGCUCGUAGGCGGUUCGGUAAGUCGGAUGUGAAAUCUCCACGCUCAACGUGGAGGGGCCAUUCGAUACUGCCGUGACUCGAGUCCGGUAGGGGAGUGUGGAAUUCCCGGUGUAGCGGUGAAAUGCGCAGAGAUCGGGAGGAACACCCGUAGCGAAGGCGGCACUCUGGGCCGGUACUGACGCUGAGGAGCGAAAGCGUGGGGAGCAAA